UACGUAGGGGGCAAGCGUUGUCCGGAUUCAUUGGGCGAAAGAGCGUGUAGGCGGUCAGGUAGGUCCGUUGUGAAAACUCGAGGCUCAACCUCGAGACGCCGAUGGAAACCAUCUGACUAGAGUCCGGAAGAGGAGAGUGGAAUUCCUGGUGUAGCGGUGAAAUGCGCAGAUAUCAGGAGGAACACCGGUGGCGAAGGCGGGACUCUGGGCCGAUACUGACGCUGAGACGCGAAAGCGUGGGGAGCAAACAGG
rnacentral:rRNA from 1 species